rnacentral:rRNA from 1 species
UUUAUGGGGUGACUGCGUACCUUUUGUAUAAUGGGUCAGCGACUUAUAUUCUGUAGCAAGGUUAACCGUAUAGGGGAGCCGAAGGGAAACCGAGUCUUAACUGGGCGUUAAGUUGCAGGGUAUAGACCCGAAACCCGGUGAUCUAGCCAUGGGCAGGUUGAAGGUUGGGUAACACUAACUGGAGGACCGAACCGACUAAUGUUGAAAAAUUAGCGGAUGACCUGUGGCUGGGGGUGAAAGGCCAAUCAAACCGGGAGAUAGCUGGUUCUCCCCGAAAGCUAUUUAGGUAGCGCCUCGUGAACUCAUCUUCGGGGGUAGAGCACUGUUUCGGCUAGGGGGCCAUCCCGGCUUACCAACCCGAUGCAAACUACGAAUACCGAAGAAUGUUAUCACGGGAGACACACGGCGGGUGCUAACGUCCGUCGUGAAGAGGGAAACAACCCAGACCGCCAGCUAAGGUCCCAAAGUCAUGGUUAAGUGGGAAACGAUGUGGGAAGGCACAGACAGCCAGGAUGUUGGCUUAGAAGCAGCCAUCAUUUAAAGAAAGCGUAAUAGCUCACUGGUCGAGUCGGCCUGCGCGGAAGAUGUAACGGGGCUAAACCAUGCACCGAAGCUGCGGCAGCGACACUUAUGUGUUGUUGGGUAGGGGAGCGUUCUGUAAGCCGUUGAAGGUGUGCUGUGAGGCAUGCUGGAGGUAUCAGAAGUGCGAAUGCUGACAUAAGUAACGAUAAAGCGGGUGAAAAGCCCGCUCGCCGGAAGACCAAGGGUUCCUGUCCAACGUUAAUCGGGGCAGGGUGAGUCGACCCCUAAGGCGAGGCCGAAAGGCGUAGUCGAUGGGAAACAGGUUAAUAUUCCUGUACUUGGUGUUACUGCGAAGGGGGGACGGAGAAGGCUAUGUCAGCCGGGCGACGGUUGUCCCGGUUUAAGCAUGUAGGCGGAGGUUCCAGGUAAAUCCGGUACCUUGUUAACGCUGAGGUGUGAUGACGAGGCACUACGGUGCUGAAGUGAUAAAUGCCCUGCUUCCAGGAAAAGCCUCUAAGCAUCAGGUAACACGAAAUCGUACCCCAAACCGACACAGGUGGUCAGGUAGAGAAUACCAAGGCGCUUGAGAGAACUCGGGUGAAGGAACUAGGCAAAAUGGUGCCGUAACUUCGGGAGAAGGCACGCUGAUGUGUAGGUGAAGCCCCUGCGGGUGGAGCUGAAAUCAGUCGAAGAUACCAGCUGGCUGCAACUGUUUAUUAAAAACACAGCACUGUGCAAACACGAAAGUGGACGUAUACGGUGUGACGCCUGCCCGGUGCCGGAAGGUUAAUUGAUGGGGUUAGCGGCAACGCGAAGCUCUUGAUCGAAGCCCCGGUAAACGGCGGCCGUAACUAUAACGGUCCUAAGGUAGCGAAAUUCCUUGUCGGGUAAGUUCCGACCUGCACGAAUGGCGUAAUGAUGGCCAGGCUGUCUCCACCCGAGACUCAGUGAAAUUGAACUCGCUGUGAAGAUGCAGUGUACCCGCGGCAAGACGGAAAGACCCCGUGAACCUUUACUAUAGCUUGACACUGAACACUGGUCCUUGAUGUGUAGGAUAGGUGGGAGGCUUUGAAGCGUGGACGCCAGUCUGCGUGGAGCCAACCUUGAAAUACCACCCUUUAAUGGCUGGUGUUCUAACGUAGACCCGUAAUCCGGGUUGCGGACAGUGUCUGGUGGGUAGUUUGACUGGGGCGGUCUCCUCCCAAAGAGUAACGGAGGAGCACGAAGGUUGGCUAAUCCUGGUCGGACAUCAGGAGGUUAGUGCAAUGGCAUAAGCCAGCUUGACUGCGAGCGUGACGGCGCGAGCAGGUGCGAAAGCAGGUCAUAGUGAUCCGGUGGUUCUGAAUGGAAGGGCCAUCGCUCAACGGAUAAAAGGUACUCCGGGGAUAACAGGCUGAUACCGCCCAAGAGUUCAUAUCGACGGCGGUGUUUGGCACCUCGAUGUCGGCUCAUCACAUCCUGGGGCUGAAGUAGGUCCCAAGGGUAUGGCUGUUCGCCAUUUAAAGUGGUACGCGAGCUGGGUUUAGAACGUCGUGAGACAGUUCGGUCCCUAUCUGCCGUGGGCGCUGGAGAAUUGAGGGGGGCUGCUCCUAGUACGAGAGGACCGGAGUGGACGCAUCACUGGUGUUCGGGUUGUCAUGCCAAUGGCACUGCCCGGUAGCUAAAUGCGGAAGAGAUAAGUGCUGAAAGCAUCUAAGCACGAAACUUGCCCCGAGAUGAGUUCUCCCUGAGACUUUAAGUCUCCUGAAGGAACGUUAAAGACUAUGACGUUGAUAGGUCGGGUGUGUAAGCGCAGCGAUGCGUUGAGCUAACCGAUACUAAUGAACCGUGAGGCUUAACCUU